UUUGAAUUGUUGUUAGUGUUUGAAUGUGUUGGCUGCGAAGAGAACUUCUGACAACAGUGUUUUCAAUUUGUGAUUACCAUGGGACGGCAGAAACCUUCAAAACCAGGUACUAGGAAAUACGGCACAAAAACCCGUUACUCGAAUGACACCCUGCAGAAAAUAUUAGAAGAAAUUACUACUGGAAGAAUCGGCCAGAGGGAAGCUGCAAGGAAAUAUAACAUUCGAAGACAAACCAUUGUGAACAAAUUAAAAAACAAGCACAGCUGUAAAGUUGGAAGACCCACUGUGUUUACGGAGAUUUAAGAAAGAUCUUUUGUACAACAUUGUAUCACUGUCAAUAUCAAUCUUUGACUUGAGGUGCAUAGUUAAGUCAUAUCUUGACACCUGUAACAGAAAAGUAAGCUGCUUUGCAGAUAAUAUGCCUGGAUGGGAAUGGGGAAAGGCCUUUUUAGAGAGGCAUCAUUCUGAACUUUCUCAGAAAUUUACAGUAAAUAUUUCAAGGAAGCAUGCUGCCGUAAAUGAGGACAUAAUCAGCACUUUCUUUCUGAAAUAUAAUUCAGAUGUGAGCUUCCUUUCACUAAAUUUGAAGAUGCUGUCUGUUCACCUAACUGCAAAGUCUUCGCCAGUAGGCCACUAAAUGUACCCUUUGGAAGACAUUAUUUCUUCUUUCCUUCUGGAGUCUUCCUCCAUUGAGAAAGAACAUCUCUCCAGUUUUUCUUCAGAGAAGAGAAAUAAGCCACAUCUAGCGGCUGCAGAAGAUGUGUCGCAUUCGGUGGCAGGCAAAUGAACUUAAUGUUAUUUUGUUCACAAAGCUCCAAAGUUCUGAUUGAGAUGUGAGAGGAGAGGUUAUCUCCAAUAAUUACUCUCCUUCCUUCUUUCUUUAAGGCAAAAGGGAGGAAGUGAGUUUCAAACCAGUCAUCAAAUACUCCUUGUUCCAUCCACCCACUGUCUGAUGAAUUCAUUCGUGUUCCAGGAGGUGCAUUGUAAAUCCAGUCAGUCCAUUUUUGCUUACCUUUAAAAAUAAGAUAUGGAGGAAGGAAUUCUCCUGCUGCAUUCCCACAGAACAUGACAGUAAAACAUGAUGAAUCAAUUUUCUUUAAUAUACAGUCCUUUCUGUACCAAAUUGAAUCCUCUCUCUCAGGCCACACCCAAUAUUUUCCUUUUUUAACCACGCAACUUAUUCUGAAUGUCACACAAUUGCCUCGCACCUCUACUGCAGUGACUUUUCCAGGAUAGCAUUUGCCCUCAUAUACUGCAAUGACAUAGUCAUUUACAUGAAAGUCACCUUCUGAUGUAGAAGGUUGAUUGACCAUAUCAGUUAGUAAUUCUUCUUCUACAACCAUGAUUUUGAUGUAUUCUCGAUUUUCUCAGGAUGUCGACACGUUCGACGAAACAAGAGCUUUCCUUUUGCUGGUAUGUCAUGAAACCCUGUUUCGUCAAAAUUGAAAAUAUUUUCAGCAGGAACACCUUCUAUCUCGUCUUUAUAAUGAUGAAUCCUGCAUGAAACAUAUUAAUAAAAGGGGCAUGGUUCAUAUCAGUGAUGACCUCCUGUGCUCAUCGGAUGAAGAUAUUUGAGGAAAUCUAUUUCCUGUAUAGUAUUAGUGAAUGUGUUGUGUUCUGUUUUCGAAGAAAAUAUGUAACUAUUAUUUGUAAUAUGUAUUACAAGCCAUUCACUGUGAAAAAUAUGUUUUUUCUACAUUUCUUUUCACUUAAUUUGAGAUCUGUCAAUGCCAGGUGGAUACAAAUAUAUUGAUAUUUCAAAAUAAACACUCUAUUGUGUAUUAA